rnacentral:tRNA from 4 species
GCUCCCAUAGCCCAAUUGGCAGGAGGCACAAGGCUUAGACCCUUGGUAGUGUCAGUUCGAAUCUGACUGGGAGUAC